UUGUAGCAUGGUCAGAUUCAGACUCAGCUAUUUUUUUCUUUUUUGUUCCUACAAGAUGUUCAGCUUAGCUUUAAAUACAGUAAAUUUGGAUACUGGAAAUGUUAUAUGACUCUGUUCUCCAUGUAUCCAGCAUUAUCCAUGUUGCUCUUGACAUUGAUGCUUUAUGAACAAGUAGAACACACCUGACAAGACAGCUGUCAAUGAAUGCUAUGAGGUUUAGGAGAGACUUUGUGGAUGUUUUUGCCUGUUACCACGUGUUGGCCACUAGAACAAGCAGACAUUUUAGAUGGCCCUUUUUUGUCUGUACGUUGUGCAUGUCAUCUGUUAGAACUGGGAUUGUUUUUGGUUUUGGCCUUGAUAAUACUAACUCUACCCUUUAGUUCAAUCAGUUUCAGGGCCGCCCUUUUGCUCUCCACAAUUCAGCCCUCUAUUUUCCUGUUUGAACAAGAUGUGCUUAUGUCAUUGUGUUUGUUGAACUGUACAGCAUAACAACAGUGGAGUGACUUGCAGGUGCCUCAUGUGGAUUUUAUGGCUUAAGCCAAGAGGAGAAAGAAAGGGCUCUGCAUAUGAAAAGAUACCAACAUUAUUGUUUCCAUGAAAUUGGUUGGAAGAAAAGAAGAAGACCCAGAGAAGAUCUUAGUAAUAAGAUAGUUUUUAGGAAAAUAGAUAUUUAGUUUUAGGUCAUUUCUUCUAAUUUCAGAUAUGGAGUGCUUGUCUUUAGUUUUUGUUUUGACUUUGUGAAACUUCCUAACUAUGGACGAAACUGUGUAAUAUUGAUGAAACUAUGUAUAUGUAUGGAUGAAACUUGCUACUAUUGGUAACAUGUGUUGGAUAUGCUAUAUUGGUACUA